GGUUUAAGUAGUUUGGUUUGUGUUUUUGUUUGUGAUAAAGGAAGUGUUAAUGUUGUUUGUUGUUCCUAUGUUGAUGAUGAUGCUCGGUUGUUGUUGUUUUGGGCGAGGUUGGAGAUAGAGUUUUUUAUAGUUGAAUAAUUUUUUCGUUUUGUGAUGAUAGAGAGUGAAGGUGGAGUGAUUUUGGUAUGAUGUUGGUUGAUGAGGAGGUUGUUGGUUGUUG
rnacentral:lncRNA from 1 species